GGUGGAGAGGUCGAGAGAGAUUUCAAAGAGAUUGAGGGAGAGUUGAGAUGUGAGAGAAAUGAAAGGAAAAUUGAGAUUUGAGGGAAUAUUAAGAGAUAUUUAAGGGUUUUGUUUUGAAAAAAAUAAGCGUAAAACUGAUUUGGAAAAAAGAAACAAUUGCCGCAUAAUUUUUUCGUUUUGAAGGGUAAAGUUUGGUGCCCGAUGCUUUUCUAACGGUGAAACUUUUACCCUCCCAAAUCCGUCGAAAAUAUAAAAUAUUUUUCUUAUACAUGUAUAAAGUCAUCAUCUCAUUUCCAAAUGAGUGAACUCAGCGUUACAAACACGCUCUUGAGAUACUUAUAACAUCGAUUAUUUCCUUUUCGUGACUAGUUUCCAUGUCCUUGGAGUGAGAUUUAUGUGAAUCUGCAUUGAGAAUUAGAUUUGAUAUAAUCUUGCUUGGUUUGACUUGAGUACUAGCUCACAAAACUUCAACUUAAGGCAAAUUUUCUAAGUUUAUGAUAGUUAUGUGUGUGUAUUGAUGCACAAAAAUGCAUUGAUGUGCAUUCUUCUAGGAGCUUAUUCAAGUCUGACUUAUAACAUGUUACAGAGUGGAUGGUUCAGAUAAAGAAUCAAAGAUCUCAGAUGAUGAUUAUGGCGGGACGUUACUGCUUGUGACGAGUUCUCCACUUAGAUUUGAUCGAUAACUCUAACCACACAAUAAUAGUGCUGAAUUGAGAUAGAAAUUUAAUGAAGCUUUUGAUCAAUAAUGGUGACGACGAGAGGCUCCAUCUAAGUCAACGAAGAAGACAAUUUAUAUUAGAGUUCAUGAACUCAACGUGGGUUUAGUAGUUUCAACCUAUAAAGGAAAAAUAAAAACAGAUCAAAGAUAAUCAAAUAAAAACAAAAAAUCGUUGGAGAGAGAUUUGUUUACCCCUUCACGUGGAUGCUAUUAUUAAAAGACGGCUACGUCUAUGAAUUUGAUGAGCUAACAACUGAAGGCGACGAACAGAUCACGACUAUGACUUUUUUGAUGAGCUAAGAACGGAAGAAGGCGACUAUAGCUUGUUCAAUAUAUAAUUUUCAGAAGAUGUGGGGAUGCUAAAUUCUAUUUUUAUUUUUAUUAUUAUCCACAAAUUUUAUUUGAGUAAAUCCUAUUAAACUUAUUUUCCUAAAUUUAAGCAAUACUCGUUUGAUUGUUAUUUUAUUUAAUUUAAUAAAAGCUUAAGUUGUUGUAAUUUUUUUUUUCUUUGAAUAUCUAUUUAACUUGAAUUUUACUUAACUAUUUUGUUCUCUCACUUCCACUCUCUCAAUUAUUUUGCAAUUCUUCUUACUUCUCUCUACAAUUUCUGAAAACAUGUAAGAUUUUUUUUUAUAUGUUUAUGUUAGAUUUUGGGGUAUGGAAUGUAUCUCUUAGCUUAGGUGGUUCUGACGAGGUGUGUCCUGUUGUAUUUUGAACAUGAAAAUUUUGUACAUGUUACGUUGGUUAUUUAUAGAUGUGCGAAAACAUAUUGCGAGGGAUUUGCGAGGAACUUGCGAGGAACAGCGCUAUUUUGCUACGAAUUUGCGAGAGAAGUUCAACUACCAACCAAGCAGGAAGAUUAUUUAAAACGUGUUGACCUAACCUGCCAAGGACUCGCAACUCCGACGCAAAAUUUGCUACAGAAAGUUUGUACGCCGCAAGUUUACCGCAGUUUGCGAGACUCUUAUCGUACAGCAAAUCCCUCGCAAUUUGCGAUGACUUUGGGAUGAAAUCUUCAGUCGUUGCAAUUUUCUUGCAAUUGCCAGGCAAUAUUGCGUGGAAAUUUUCCCUCGCAAAUUUUGCGACUGAUUAACGACGUAUUGAUUUUCCCGCGUAAAGUGCUCGCAAGUCUAUAGCAAUUUGCGAGGGAUUUACGCCAUCUCAAAUUUCCCUCGCAAAUCGCCUGUUUUCUUGUAGAUUGAGAGAGAUUUCAAAGAGAUAGAAGGAGACGGUAGAGUGGUUGAGAGAGAUUUCAAAGAGAUUGAGGGAGAGUUGAGGUGUGAGAGAAAUGAAAGGAAAAUUGAGAUUUGAGGGAAUAUUAAUAGAUAUUUAAGGGUUUUGUUUUGAAAAAAAUAAGCGUAAAACUGAUUUGGAAAAAAAAAACAAUUGCCGCAUAAUUUUUUCGUUUUGGAGGGUAAAGUUUGGUGCCCGAUGCUUUUCCAACGGUGAAACUUUUACCCUCCCAAAUCCGUCGGAAAUAUAAAAUAUUUUUCUUAUACAUGUAUAAAGUCCUCAUCUCAUUUCCAAAUGAGUGAACUCGGCGUUACAAACACGCUCUUGAGAUACUUAUAACAUCGAUCAUUUCCUUUUCGUGACUAGUUUCCAUGUUCUUGGAGUGAAAUUUCUGUGAAUCUGCAUUGAGAAUUAGAUUUGAUAUAAUCUUGCUUGGUUUGACUUGAGUACUAGCUCACAAAACUUCAACUUAAGGCAAAUUUUCUGAGUUUAUGAUAGUUAUGUGUGUGUAUUGAUGCACAAAAAUGCAUUGAUGUGCAUUCUUCUAGGAGCUUAUUCAAGUCUGACUUAUAACAUGUUACAGAGUGGAUGGUUCAGAUAAAGAAUCAAAGAUCUCAGAUGAUGAUUAUGGCGGGACGUUUCUGCUUGUGACGAGUUCUCCACUUAGAUUUGAUCGAUAACUCUAACCACACAAUAAUAGUGCUGAAUUGAGAUAGAAAUUUAAUGAAGCUUUUAAUCAAUAAUGGUGACGACGAGAGGCUCCAUCUAAGUCGACGAAGAAGACAAUAUAUAUUAGAGUUCAUGAACUCAACUUGGGUUUAGUAGUUUCAACCUAUAUAGGAAAAAUAAAAACAGAUCAAAGAUAAUCAAAUAAAAACCAAAAAUCGUUGGAGAGAGAUUUGUUUACCCCUUCACGUGGAUGCUAUUAUUAAAAGACGGCUACGUCUAUGAAUUUGAUGAGCUAACAAUUGAAGGCGACGAACAGAUCACGACUAUGACUUUUUUGAUGAGCUAAGAACGGAAGAAGGCGACUAUAGCUUGUUCAAUAUAUAAUUUUGAGAAGAUGUGGGGAUGCUAAAUUCUAUUUUUAUUUUUAUUAUUAUCCACAAAUUUUAUUUGAGUAAAUCCUAUUAAACUUAUUUUCCUAAAUUUAAGCAAUACUCGUUUGAUUGUUAUUUUAUUUAAUUUAAUAAAAGCUUAAGUUGUUGUAAUUUUUUUUUUCUUUGAAUAUCUAUUUAACUUGAAUUUUACUUAACUAUUUUGUUUUCUAACUUCCACUCUCUCAAUUAUUUUGCAAUGCUUCUUACUUCUCUCUACAAUUUCUGAAAACAUGUAAGAUUUUUUUUUAUAUGUUUAUGUUAGAUUUUGGGGUAUGGAAUGUAUCUCUUAGCUUAGGUGGUUCUGACGAGGUGUAUCCUGUUGUAUUUUGAACAUUAAAAUUUUGUACAUGUUACGUUGGUUAUUUAUAGAUGUGCGAAAACAUAUUGCGAGGGAUUUGCGAGGAACUUGCGAGGAACAUCGCUAUUUUGCUACGAAUUUGCGAGAGAAGUUCAACUACCAACCAAGCAGGAAGAUUAUUUAAAACGUGCUGACCUAACCUGCCAAGGACUUGCAACUCCGACGCAAAAUUUGCUACAGAAAGUUUGUACGCCGCAAGUUUACCGCAGUUUGCGAGACACUUAUCGUACAGCAAAUCCCUCGCAAUUUGCGAUGACUUUGCGAUGAAUUCUUCCGUCGUUGCAAUUUUCUCGCAGAUGCCACGCAAUAUUGCGUGGGAAUUUUCCCUCGCAAAUUUUGCGACUGAUUAACGACGUAUUGGUUUUCCCGCGCAAAGUGCUCGCAAGUCUAUAGCAAUUUGCGAGGGAUUUACGCCAUCUCAAAUUUCCCUCGCAAAUCGCCUGUUUUCUUGUAGAUUGAGAGAGAUUUCAAAGAGAUAGAAGGAGACGGUAGAGAGGUUGAGAGAGAUUUCAAAGAGAUUGAGGGAGAGUUGAGAUGUGAGAGAAAUGAAAGGAAAAUUGAGAUUUGAGGGAAUAUUAAGAGAUAUUUAAGGGUUUUGUUUUGAAAAAAAUAAGCGUAAAACUGAUUUGGAAAAAAGAAACAAUUGCCGCAUAAUUUUUUCGUUUUGAAGGGUAAAGUUUGGUGCCCGAUGCUUUUCUAACGGUGAAACUUUUACCCUCCCAAAUCCGUCGAAAAUAUAAAAUAUUUUUCUUAUACAUGUAUAAAGUCAUCAUCUCAUUUCCAAAUGAGUGAACUCAGCGUUACAAACACGCUCUUGAGAUACUUAUAACAUCGAUCAUUUCCUUUUCGUGACUAGUUUCCAUGUCCUUGGAGUGAGAUUUAUGUGAAUCUGCAUUGAGAAUAGAUUUGAUAUAAUCUUGCUUGGUUUGACUUGAGUACUAGCUCACAAAACUUCAACUUAAGGCAAAUUUUCUAAGUUUAUGAUAGUUAUGUGUGUGUAUUGAUGCACAAAAAUGCAUUGAUGUGCAUUCUUCUAGGAGCUUAUUAAAGUCUGACUUAUAACAUGUUACAGAGUGGAUGGUUCAGAUAAAGAAUCAAAGAUCUCAGAUAAUGAUUAUGGCGGGACGUUUCUGCUUGUGACGAGUUCUCCACUUAGAUUUGAUCGAUAACUCUAACCACACAAUAAUAGUGCUGAAUUGAGAUAGAAAUUUAAUGAAGCUUUUGAUCAAUAAUGGUGACGACGAGAGGCUCCAUCUAAGUCGACGAAGAAGACAAUAUAUAUUAGAGUUCAUGAACUCAACUUGGGUUUAGUAGUUUCAACCUAUAGAGGAAAAAUAAAAACAGAUCAAAGAUAAUCAAAAAAAAACCAAAAAUCGUUGGAGAGAGAUUUGUUUACCCCUUCACGUGGAUGCUAUUAUUAAAAGACGGCUACGUCUAUGAAUUUGAUGAGCUAACAACUGAAGGCGACGAACAGAUCACGACUAUGACUUUUUUGAUGAGCUAAGAACGGAAGAAGGCGACUAUAGCUUGUUCAAUAUAUAAUUUUGAGAAGAUGUGGGGAUGCUAAAUUCUAUUUUUAUUUUUAUUAUUAUCCACAAAUUUUAUUUGAGUAAAUCCUAUUAAACUUAUUUUCCUAAAUUUAAGCAAUACUCGUUUGAUUGUUAUUUUAUUUAAUUUAAUAAAAGCUUAAGUUGUUGUAAUUUUUUUUUUCUUUGAAUAUCUAUUUAACUUGAAUUUUACUUAACUAUUUUGUUCUCUCACUUCCACUCUCUCAAUUAUUUUGCAAUUCUUCUUACUUCUCUCUACAAUUUCUGAAAACAUCUAAGAUUUUUUUUUAUAUGUUUAUGUUAGAUUUUGGGGUAUGGAAUGUAUCUCUUAGCUUAGGUGGUUCUGACGAGGUGUAUCCUGUUGUAUUUUGAACAUUAAAAUUUUGUACAUGUUACGUUGGUUAUUUAUAGAUGUGCGAAAACAUAUUGCGAGGGAUUUGCGAGGAACUUGCGAGGAACAUCGCUAUUUUGUUACGAAUUUGCGAGAGAAGUUCAACUACCAACCAAAGCAGGAAGAUUAUUUAAAAUGUGCUGACCUAACCUGCCAAGGAGUCGCAACUCCGACGCAAAAUUUGCUACAAAAAGUUUGUACGCCGUAAAUUUACCGCAGUUUGCGAGGCUUUAUCGUACAGCAAAUCCCUCGCAAUUUGCGAUGACUUUGCGAGGAAUUCUUCCGUCGUUGCAAUUUUCUCGCAAUUGCCACGCAAUAUUGCGUGGGAAUUCUCCCUCGCAAAUUUUGCGACUGAUUAACGACGUAUUGGUUUUCCCGCGCAAAGUGCUCGCAAGUCUAUAGCAAUUUGCGAGAGAUUUACGCCAUCUCAAAUUUCCCUCGCAAAUCGAUGUUUUCUUGUAGAUUGAGAGAGAUUUCAAAGAGAUAGAAGGAGACGGUAGAGAGGUUGAGAGAGAUUUCAAAGAGAUUGAGGGAGAGUUGAGGUGUGAGAGAAAUGAAAGGAAAAUUGAGAUUUGAGGGAAUAUUAAGAGAUAUUUAAGGGUUUUGUUUUGAAAAAAAUAAGCGUAAAACUGAUUUGGAAAAAAGAAACAAUUGCCGCAUAAUGUUUUCGUUUUGGAGGGUAAAGUUUGGUGCCCGAUGCUUUUCCAACGGUGAAACUUUUACCCUCGCAAAUCCGUCGGAAAUAUAAAAUAUUUUUCUUAUACAUGUAUAAAGUCCUCAUCUCAUUUCCAAAUGAGUGAACUCGGCGUUACAAACACGCUCUUGAGAUACUUAUAACAUCAAUCAUUUCCUUUUCGUGACUAGUUUCCAUGUCCUUGGAGUGAAAUUUCUGUGAAUCUGCAUUGAGAAUUAGAUUUGAUAUAAUCUUACUUUGUUUGACUUGAGUACUAGCUCACAAAACUUCAACUUAAGGCAAAUUUUCUAAGUUUAUGAUAGUUAUGUGUGUGUAUUGAUGCACAAAAAUACAUUGAUGUGCAUUCUUCUAGGAGCUUAUUCAAGUCUGACUUAUAACAUGUUACAGAGUGGAUGGUUCAGAUAAAGAAUCAAAGAUCUCAGAUAAUGAUUAUGGCGGGACGUUUCUGCUUGUGACGAGUUCUCCACUUAGAUUUGAUCGAUAACUCUAACCACACAAUAAUAGUGCUGAAUUGAGAUAGAAAUUUAAUGAAGCUUUUGAUCAAUAAUGGUGACGACGAGAGGCUCCAUCUAAGUCGACGAAGAAGACAAUAUAUAUUAGAGUUCAUGAACUCAACUUGGGUUUAGUAGUUUCAACCUAUAGAGGAAAAAUAAAAACAGAUCAAAGAUAAUCAAAAAAAAACCAAAAAUCGUUGGAGAGAGAUUUGUUUACCCCUUCACGUGGAUGCUAUUAUUAAAAGACGGCUACGUCUAUGAAUUUGAUGAGCUAACAACUGAAGGCGACGAACAGAUCACGACUAUGACUUUUUUGAUGAGCUAAGAACGGAAGAAGGCGACUAUAGCUUGUUCAAUAUAUAAUUUUGAGAAGAUGUGGGGAUGCUAAAUUCUAUUUUUAUUUUUAUUAUUAUCCACAAAUUUUAUUUGAGUAAAUCCUAUUAAACUUAUUUUCCUAAAUUUAAGCAAUACUCGUUUGAUUGUUAUUUUAUUUAAUUUAAUAAAAGCUUAAGUUGUUGUAAUUUUUUUUUCCUUUGAAUAUCUAUUUAACUUGAAUUUUAU
rnacentral:sRNA from 1 species